UUUUCCGUUCCUGUCUAUGUUCCUUGGAACAGGACGUCAUAGAGGGUGAGAAUCCCGUGUGGCGAGGAGUGCGGUUCUUUGUAAAGUGCCUUCGAAGAGUCGAGUUGUUUGGGAAUGCAGCUCUAAGUGGGUGGUAAAUCCAUCUAAAGCUAAAUAUUGGCGAGAGACCGAUAGCGAACAAAACUC
rnacentral:rRNA from 1 species